rnacentral:rRNA from 1 species
GUGGGGAAUAUUGGACAAUGGGCGCAAGCCUGAUCCAGCCAUGCCGCGUGAGUGAUGAAGGCCCUAGGGUUGUAAAGCUCUUUCACCGGAGAAGAUAAUGACGGUAUCCGGAGAAGAAGCCCCGGCUAACUUCGUGCCAGCAGCCGCGGUAAUACGAAGGGGGCUAGCGUUGUUCGGAAUUACUGGGCGUAAAGCGCACGUAGGCGGACAUUUAAGUCAGGGGUGAAAUCCCGGAGCUCACCUCCGGAACUGCCUUUGAUACUGGGAGUCUGGAGUAUGGAAGAGGUGAGUGGAAGUCCGAGUGGAGAGGUGAAAUUCGUAGAUAUUCGGAGGAACACCAGUGGCGAAGGCGACUGACUGGACAAGUAUUGACGCUGAGGUGCGAAAGCGUGGGGAACAAACAGGAUUAGAUACCCUGGUAGUCC